rnacentral:rRNA from 1 species
CCUACGGGUGGCAGCAGUGAGGAAUAUUGGUCAAUGGCCGUAAGGCUGAACCAGCCAAGCCGCGUGAAGGAAGAAGGAUCUAUGGUUUGUAAACUUCUUUUAUAGGGGAAUAAAGGUAUCCAUGUGUGGAUAUUUGCAUGUACCCUAUGAAUAAGCAUCGGCUAACUCCGUGCCAGCAGCCGCGGUAAUACGGAGGAUGCGAGCGUUAUCCGGAUUUACUGGGUUUAAAGGGUGCGUAGGUUGUUUUUUAAGUCAGCGGUGAAAGUUUGUGGCUCAACCAUAAAAUUGCCGUUGAAACUGGAAGACUUGAGUUUGUUUGAGGUAGGCGGAAUGCGUGGUGUAGCGGUGGAAUGCAUAGAUAUCACGCAGAACUCCGAUUGCGAAGGCAGCUUACUAGGCCAUGACUGACACUGAGGCGCGAAAGCGAGGGGAUCGAACAGGAUUAGAUACCCGGGUAGUC